CUUAUUGUGUCAUUGUUUAGAUGGCAAACGCAGUCAUGGAGGCCUUUCCGAAAAUACCAAACAUUGCAUUUGGUACAACAAAGACAGAGAUGGUACAUCAGCGUAAACAUUACGCUCUGCAAAUACUGAAAGCCUCAGUGUUUGACAUAGAUAACAACUGUGCCAUGUGCUCAGCGACAAAACCACCAGGUCCAGGGCCUUCCUUCACUGACUGGAUUCAGUGUGACAGAUGUAGCUGGUGGUUUCAUGCCCAGUGCCUCCAGAUGGACACAGCCCAGAUUCAAAAUGUGCAAACCGCUGACUGGAAUUGCUGUCUGUGUCAAAAAUAAUUCCACAAUCAGUAUGUGCUAUGUCUUUUUUUUUUAUAUGUUCACUGUUUUCUUCGUCUGUGUAUGAAAGAGUCGCCUAAAACACAUAUUUUGCCUUUCAUAGUAUUACCAGCUGCAAAAGCAACACUGGUAUUGUUUUCACUUUGUGAGUCUGUGUGCAAGUCCCCAGGUGUUUAUAUUGCUAUCUCUGUGUACAGAUUUUCUCAUCCCGAUAGCAACCGUGAACGAUGCAGUCACAAAACUUUACAGGUGUUUAUUUUUUAUCAAACUGAAGGCCGCGUUUGAAGAUGGGUGUGGCCCAACAAUGGCACCUGAAUUACGAAAUUAAAAGGAAGGGGUUGAUCAGGACUUUACGCCCCUUAAACAAUUUAGCAUCAUGGCCGUUUAGGUUUUUAUAAUUUUAUUUUUCUUUUUAA